rfam:Bilophila wadsworthia 3_1_6 genomic scaffold acCls-supercont2.1, whole genome shotgun sequence.
CUUGGUGUUCAUGGAGGAGAGGGUACACCCGAUCCCAUUCCGAACUCGGCAGUUAAGCUCUCCAUCGUCGAUGAUACUGCGCACUCUUACGUGGGAAAGUAGAACAACGCCAAGA